UCAGACCCAGAAUUGUGAGGUGGAUCUGGGACCGUGGCAGAAACACACUCCCUUUCAUGUCACAGUUCCCUAAACCUUUGUGACAGGCAUCACGAGAGCCAGCUGAGCAGCCUGACAGGCAGGUGUGCCUGAGGGGUGAGCUCACCUCACCUACAGCAGCACUGCCUUCCCCACCCCAGGCCACUUCCCAUUUGAGGGCCCAAUGGGAGGGUCUUCAUAUCUGUUCUAACCCAGUGUCCUGGGCUCAAAUCGACCUGGCACCUCAGGGAAAGACAGGGCCUCAAGGAUGAGAGCCAGAGGCCUGGGAGUCUGAACACCCCAAACCAUCAGAGGCCUUUGGGGAUGACGGGCAAUUUGUAUCCCUGGAAUGUGAGGCUGUAGGGCCUCUAUCCCUGCAGAAACCAGCCAGCUCUCACUUGUCCAUGGUUAUGGAUGUCCCUCUAAUUCCUCAUCACCAUAAUCCCAUAGGUGAGCCACAAGGAAGACUGGAUGAGACUUCUGCCCGAGAAAUCCUAAGGAUGGUGGGAGGAGGACCAGAAAAACCAUUUGGAAGUCCCUGUCCUUCCUCUUGGGUCAAUAGCAUUGUAAUCAGCCAUAGGGGGGCCCAUCGGCUCUUCCAAGGCUGCCAGCUAUGUGACAUUUCAAGCUGAAGUAUGUGGCCACUGCCAACUCCUUGGAUCCUUUUAUCAAUUCAUCUCUGGAUAAUUCAAAAAUCUCUGUCAUUUGAUCUUGACUUUUCUGUCUAUGAAUUUUUGAAAUUAUCUGCAAAUCCUCAAGAUCUACAAGUGUGAAAUUGAAUAGGUUCAAUCAUUCAAGGGCCACAUGUAGCAUCCAUCCCCCAAAGGUGAACAAGGACACAGAUGGCCAUUUGCCAGGAUGCACAUUGGUGUCAGCUUCAGACGUCUGUAUUUGACAGAGAAACCACCAGGAGGAGCAUUUUCCUGCUGUAUGCAUAUGUUUGUGGGAGUAUGUUCCAGAAGACACUGUACAGUGAUGAUUUCCAGCAAGCAGUGAAAGAAGUACACAACCGUGUGUACAGAAAGUUCGGAUGUACACGAACAAAAAACUAAGACAGGUUCCUGACCAGUUGUUCCUGAUUCUUCAUCUGAUCGGCAGCUUGUUUUGCGAUAGCAGACUUGGCUUCUUCAGCAGCUCGACGUUCCUUUUCAAGCCUUUCUGCUUCUUCCUUUGCUCGUUUUCGUUCCUGGUCCAGUUCUAGAGCUUUCCGAGUCUGUUCUUCUAGUUCUGUCAAAUAUAUGUACACCGCCCACCCCCCCACCAAACAGCAGUUAAUUCCAAUUAUUCUCAUUAUCAAAAGAAGCCAAAAUGGUAAUGAAGAAUCUAAUCUAAAAUUAGAACAUCUGCAAAUGAAUACAUACUUUAACUUGGCAAAAGCCUAAUAAUUUUUUAAAGUACUAUACAAAAAAUUUGAAGAAAUGAAAAUUCUUUGUAAUUCAAUGUAUAGCAUAGGCUAGAAGUACAUCUUCAGUUUUAAAAAAAUAAUAUCUCCAAAGUUUUGACCUACACAACUUGCCAUCUAUUUCAAAACUCUAUAAAACAAUACACUUUAAAACUUAUAAAAUUUUUUACUUUACUAAGUAUCAGAUAAGGAAACUCAAGACAUU